ACUGUGAAAACCACAAAAAGAGAAAGGAAAUCAAGAACAGAAAAACACAAUUUCUAGAUAUUCGGGGGAACUGGACCACAUCUUGAGCACCCCCGUGCUCAUUACAGGUGCUCAGCUCUUGUCCUCUGGAGGACAACUAAGUUUUUUUUUUCUUCCUCUGUUCUUUAGUGAUUCUUGUUAGCUUGUAUAUAUUUUGAACUAAAGUGAGGCAUUGAUUCCUUCUUGCAGUUCUCAUCUAGUUGAACACUCCCAAGCAAGGAAGACCAAAAUGGGAGAAACAAAGCGGACCAAAAGAAAGGAAGGAAGAACAAAGAGGAGAGAAAUCAAUCCUUGUUCUCAACUCAAGCUUUUCACAUUCACAUGUAUACGGAUGGAUGAAGAGCAAAACGAACCAGAACCCAUUUACUUCCAACUUAAUUUUCUCGUCAAGCCUUGUAAGCAAAAAAGCAUGCUCUGCUUAUCACAAGCAUCUCUCUCUCUCUGUAAACCAGUGAGCCAAAGGCAGAAGAGAAAAGGAGAAAGCACCAGAUAGACGGCAGCGACCAAUGAAUUGCACACAGCUGCUAAUUAAGCAUACAUACCUUCAGCAGAGAAGAGCCUAGGAGGGAGGGCAUCAGCUGCCUUGGCCCCUGAGGAGCCAUGGACCUCAGCAACAGCAAGCAAGGCAAAGAACAGCAGUCUCCAUCCACAGGGCAAGCUCCAUGCCCUCAUCUCUCCUCCCUCUCUCGGUCUCUGCUGCUCACCAAGCUCUUCCAAGUGGAGCGCGAUGGCAGUGCCGCAGUGGUGAGAAGACGAGAGGAGUGACUGGCAGUGCCGCAGUGGUGAGAAGACAAGAGGAGUGAGUGACUUGGCUUUCUAGGCAAAAAGCCGCUACUUUGGGUGGUUUCUCCGGCAUGAUUUGGGCCCGCAGACGGUCAGACGGUCAGUCUCAUCUUCUGCCCCUGCCUUGUUGCAACCUUGGUAAAUUUGGCCUGCGCCGGCACGUGGACCUCAGUCUGCCGCGAGCUGUAAAAAGAAGCUUUGGUGAAACCACGAUGCUGCGUCCUUGUUGGGCGAGAGUAGGAAAUAACUGCUCGGAUAAAAAAUGAAUUAGCAGAGGGAAAUAAAAAACCUCGACUCAACUCUCCGGAUAUCAAAAAUCAUCAAACACAUCGGCACUGGUUCUGAUGGAGAAGGGAGGCUAGCAGGUGGUCUGCCGACAAGAGAAGAGAGAAGCCAAGGUGAGUGGCUGCAAGAUACGGAUAAAGAUGGUGUGGAAGAGACGUAAAGGUGAGAGGUGA